GACGAACGCUGGCGGCGUGCCUAAUACAUGCAAGUAGAACGCACAGUUUAUACCGUAGCUUGCUACACCAUAAACUGUGAGUUGCGAACGGGUGAGUAACGCGUAGGUAACCUGCCUGGUAGCGGGGGAUAACUAUUGGAAACGAUAGCUAAUACCGCAUAAUAUUGAUUAUUGCAUGAUAAUUGAUUGAAAGAUGCUAUUGCAUCACUACCAGAUGGACCUGCGUUGUAUUAGCUAGUAGGUGAGGUAACGGCUCACCUAGGCGACGAUACAUAGCCGACCUGGGGGGGUGAUCGGCCACACGGGGACUGAGACACGGCCCAGACCCCUACGGGAGGCAGCAGGAGGGAAUUUUCGGAAAUGGACGAAAGUCGGACCGGGCAACGCCGCGGGGGUGAAGAAGUUUUUCGGAUCGUAAAGCUUUGUUGUAAGGGAAGAAGGGGUGGGAGGGGGGAAAGUUCACCCUGUGACGGUUUUUUACCAAAAAGGGACGGCUAACUACGU
rnacentral:rRNA from 1 species